rnacentral:rRNA from 1 species
CCUACGGGAGGCUGCAGUGGGGAAUAUUGGGCAAUGGGCGCAAGCCUGACCCAGCAACGCCGCGUGAAGGAAGAAGGCUUUCGGGUUGUAAACUUCUUUUAAGAGGGAAGAGCAGAAGACGGUACCUCUUUAAUAAUCUACGGCUAACUACGUGCCAGCAGCAGCGGUAAUACGUAGGUGGCAAGCGUUGUCCGGAUUUACUGGGUGUAAAGGGCGUGUAGCCGGGCUGACAAGUCUGAUGUGAAAUUCCAGGGCUCAACCCCGGACCUGCAUUUGAAACUGUUGGUCUUGAGUAUCGGAGAGGAAGGCGGAAUUCCUAGUGUAGCGGUGAAAUGCGUAGAUAUUAGGAGGAACACCAGUGGCGAAGGCGGCCUGCUGGACGACAACUGACGGUGAGGCGCGAAAGCGUGGGGAGCAAACAGGAUUAGAUACCCUUGUAGUC